rnacentral:rRNA from 1 species
GUCCACGCCCUAAACUAUGUCAACUAGUUGUCUGGGAAGCAAUUCCUUGGUAACGAAGCUAACGCGUGAAGUUGACCGCCUGGGGAGUACGGUCGCAAGAUUAAAACUCAAAGGAAUUGACGGGGGCCCGCACAAGCGGUGGAUGAUGUGGAUUAAUUCGAUGCAACGCGAAAACCUUACCUACCCUUGACAUGGCAGUAAGCCCGAUGAGAGUCGGGUGUGCUCGAAAGAGAGCCUGCACACAGGUGCUGCAUGGCUGUCGU